rnacentral:rRNA from 1 species
UAAGGCCCCUUGUAGAAGACAAGGUAGAUAGGCCAGGAGUGUAAGGCGGGCAACCGCUUGAGCGGACUGGUACUAAUCGGCCGAGGGCUUGACCUAA